GUGCCAGCCGCCGCGGUAAUACGUAGGUUCCGAGCGUUGUCCGGAUUUAUUGGGCGUAAAGCGAGCGCAGGCGGUUAGAUAAGUCUGAAGUUAAAGGCUGUGGCUUAACCAUAGUACGCUUUGGAAACUGUUUAACUUGAGUGCAAGAGGGGAGAGUGGAAUUCCAUGUGUAGCGGUGAAAUGCGUAGAUAUAUGGAGGAACACCGGUGGCGAAAGCGGCUCUCUGGCUUGUAACUGACGCUGAGGCUCGAAAGCGUGGGGAGCAAACAGGA
rnacentral:rRNA from 1 species